UCCCUUGUUACAUUUUACCUUUUGUUACUUUCCUUGUUAUAUUUUACCUUUUGUUACUUUCUUAGAUAGUUUUAUAUCAAACAGAAAAGUAAAAUACUUGGACUAUUGUAGAUUCGUCAACGACAAGGUUACUAACAUUUUCUUCAAGAAUUUCAAAGAAAUCUGCAACAUCUAAAUCCAUAGUCUUAACAUUAUCUUCGAAGAUAAAGUUUGUUUCUACAUUGUUAUUCAUUUUCUUGAGAGACGCCUGAUAGAGAUGAACCAUAUAUUUUGGCAUACGACAGGUACGUGACCGGUGCCCCUUUCCUCCACACCGAUAGUAUUUAUUUUUUGAAAUUUUCCUUUGCGCUGCUUCAGUAUUUUCACCUUCUUUUUACACUGCUGGUGUUGAGGGUCAUUAUUUAAUGCAAGACGAUCACCUGAUUAAAAUUUCUUCCUCGACCAUGACCACGAUUGGGUCCAGGACCAUUUUCAUGUCUGGAUUGGUGAAAAUUUGCAGCAUUUAUUUCAGAAAAUUGAGUAGUACCAGUAGGUCAACCUUUAUGAUUUUUCAUCAAAAAAUCAUUGUGUUGUUCAGCAACGAGAAGAUGCGAAAUCAGUUCAGAAUACUCUUUGAAUCUUAUGUAUAGAUAUUGCUAUUGCAGGAGCAUACUCGAGGCAGGAAAGGUGGAGAAUGUUUUCUCUAGCAUAUUGUGAU
rnacentral:lncRNA from 1 species